AGUGCGGGAAUCGAACCCAUGACAGCAGUGGAGUUGAAUGCGGAUGUCCUCCACAGCGCAGUGACACUGAUAAGGAACUGGAGUCUCGGGAUGUGCUCGUUUUAAGUCCGACGAGCUGCUGCAAAAUUCACGUUACGGACGACGAUUUCAUCGCUAAACAGGCGUGAAUAAUUUCGUCAGUGGAGAUCGUCUUCUUCCUAAAUAUUAACAGAAGAAUUCUGACUGGAGGAAAAUGGGAAGUACAGUGAUGGACUCCAAGAAAAAGGAUAGUGCAAAGAAAUCCUCAAAGAAAAAGCGAGCUCUGCGCCUAAACAUGCCAGAUUUGAGCACGUUCACAUCCUCUCUUAUGGACGGAGAGACUGACAGAGCAGAUAAAGAUGAUAUGCGCAAGGGUGAGAGAAGUGACUCGGCUAGCCCAUGUUUGAAGCCGCCUGCCAGCCAACCCUGUGCCCCAGCUUCUGCCCCCGUAUGUCCCAGGACCAGUCCAGGCACUCCUAAAACCAUCUUCCAACGUCCACUAUCAUCUCACCAGGACUCACCUCCCAAAUCUCCCCGCCGUCUCAGUUUCAGUGGUAUCUUCCGCUCCUCGUCCAGCUCAGCCCCUGCCAGCAUCAAGCUCUUCUCCAAAUCUAGAAAAGGCUCUGGGCUUUCCACUCCCCCCACCACCCCGACACAGAGUCCCGUUCCACCGGUCUUCUCUGUGGAGACCCCCAGUCCUGUGGAGCGUGUGGAGGAACGACGCUCCCGCUCUCUCUCGUCUCCCCCUGACACAGGCCAGCGCUUCAGCCUGAGCCCCUCAAUCACCAAACCCCCUAUCGCCUCAUACACCUUUAACUCUACCUCACGCCAGAGCUGCGUACUUGCUGAAGGCAUGCUGGAAAAACUUGAACUUGAUAAUGAAGCUGCUGAAGAGCCAGACAGUAACAUUUACAUGCGCUUUAUGAAAUCCCACAAGUGCUAUGACCUCAUCCCCACCAGUUCCAAACUUGUGGUCUUUGACACUACAUUACAGGUAAAGAAAGCUUUCUUUGCCUUGGUUGCUAAUGGAGUUCGAGCUGCGCCAUUGUGGGAAACCAAAAAGCAAAGCUUUGUGGGAAUGUUAACCAUCACAGACUUCAUCAUCAUACUGCACAGAUACUACAAAUCGCCACUGGUGCAAAUAUAUGAGCUGGAAGAGCAUAAAAUUGAGACUUGGAGAGAACUUUAUUUGCAAGAAACUUUUAAACCCUUAGUCAACAUAUCUCCAAAUGCAAGUAUAUUUGAUGCUGUGUACUCACUCAUCAAAAAUAAGAUCCAUCGUUUGCCGGUGAUCGAUCCAGUCACAGGAAAUGCCCUGUAUAUCCUCACACACAAGAGGAUCCUCAAAUUUCUGCAGCUCUUUGUUUGUGAGAUGCCUAAACCAGCCUUCAUGAGGCAGACUCUGGAGGAGCUGGGCAUUGGCACAUACAGCAACAUCGCUUUCAUUCACCCAGAUACACCCAUUAUUAAAGCACUGGGCAUGUUUGUGGAGAGGAGAGUGUCUGCCCUACCGGUGGUGGAUGUCACGGGAAAGGUUGUGGACAUUUACUCCAAGUUUGAUGUCAUUAACCUGGCUGCUGAGAAGACCUACAAUAAUCUGGACAUCACCGUGACUCAGGCUCUGCUGCAUCGCUCGCAGUACUUCGAGGGCGUUAUGAAGUGUCAUCGACACGAGACUCUGGAGACUACAGUGGACAGGAUUGUCAAAGCUGAGGUGCACAGGCUGGUAGUGGUGGAUGAUAACUCCAGCAUCGAGGGCAUCAUCUCUCUGUCAGACAUCCUGCAGGCGCUGGUUCUCACCCCCGCAGGUAUAGAUGCACAGAAUUCCUAAUCCAACCCUCCAUUUCACUUUCCUUCUCUCCUCUCCAUUCUUCCCCGGACCCAAUCUCCUCUCCCUGGACAUCUACCGCUCGAGUGUCCCUCUCUGACCCCCUGAGCACAGGAGGACGCAGAAGGGACAGUGUGACUGAAUGACAAGACAGCAUUUUGGAGGUGAAAGAGAAAUACAAGAAAUUCAAAGAACCAAAGAAGGUCCAGCCGGCAUUCCUGAUGGGAUACAAAGAAGAGGACAGCUGGAAGCUUUUUAGAUCCUCAUUUAAGGGCUGGAAAAUGUGCCGGGCUGAAAGAAAAUGUUUGAAUCUGGCGCCGAAGGAACGGACAUGCGAUCGUAAAGCACACAUUGAUGGACAUGUUUAUGGUGGGCCAGUCGUGAGAAUCAGCCGCUAUACUGUACACUGCUUUAAAUGCUGGGCACGUUUGCCUGGUGGUGCUGCUGGUUUUAGAGGUGCUUACUGACAGCGUUAAAAAUCAGGCACGGGGAGGAAGUCUCCUUUUGGUUUCUAGCUGGGUCUGCGUUAUAUCAUCAGGCACUGUAAUCCACUCUUGGCUGAGUGUCUGAAGUGGAAAUUUGCCUUAAAUGAAGACCUCGGUGAGAGCUGAUUAUAAAGGUUAGCAGAGACCCAUGCAUGUAGUGCAAAUUGCUGUUGGUUCAAAGAACAUGGUAGACUCUGUAGACAUCUGGCUAUUCUUUUUUCUCUCCCACUGUCUUGAAAACACUUUCAGGUUGCAUUUCAUCCCAAAAUUUAGAUAAAAUAUAUACAAAAAAUUAAGCAUAAAGCAAAAUAAUGUGAGAUUAUUUUCAUGACAGUUAAGCAUACUUACCUGCAGGUUUUAUUAUUGUAGUAGUAAAAUUAUUAUUAUUUUAAAAUUAUAUAAAUAAUAAUGUGUAUAUACUAUAGUAAUUAUUUUAUCACCUGUAAUUUAUGAAGCAUUAAAGAAAAAGAAUGAUUACUUUUUUUAAAUAAUGACUAACAAAUGAAGAUCACCUCUGAAAAUAAUUACUACAAUAGUAAUUUAGUAUUAUAUAACGGUCAUGAAAAUAACGUAGCAUUUUUUCUAGAUUUAUAACUCUGCAUACAUUACAGGUAAUAGAACAAAUACUAUAAUAUAUACGUUUUAUUAUUUAUUAUUGAUUAUAUAAUGUAUGAAUAAUAAUAAUAAAAUGAAUGAAAAUGAAAAUAGUGUUACCUGCAAAAAAAAACAAAACAAAAAAAAACUAUGGCUUUUUUGUUUCUUUUAAUUUUCAGGUGUUUUAUGUGAUGUGACCCAGACACAUUUAUUAUAAGUUUAAUGAGUUAUAUUCAAUCAAUUAUUGAUUUUUGCCUGUCAACGCUGGCGUAUUAGUCCAAAUGUCUACUGAAUAUGAAUUGUUUUCAUCCUAUUAGUUGUCAGUGGAAAAUGAAUGUACUACCACACUGCGUACGCACUGACCUGGACUGUAUUUUUACUGGAACAAAGAAUGUUAUGAAAAGUGACUAUAUAUACAGAGCCUUAUUUUUCUAUCAUGACUGUCUGUAGUGUUUGGCUGGUGUGGAAAAACGUGUGCACUACCUGUCUUAUGCACUAAAAGAGCAUGAAUGUCAAAAGCUUGCAGUUGCAAAAAAAGCCACGCACCUUUGCACCCCAGUGAUAUGCUGAGCUACUGUAAAUACAGCAUGCCAUGAAAUGGGUUCAAAACUGUUAAAUCAUGUAUUGUUUGAUUGCAUUUUUUCAUUAUUGUAACUGCUGUCAAUGAAAGUUAAGACCGUUAGGUCCAGAGAGAAAGAAAUGUACAUUUUUGUACACAGAAAUGACACUAUUUUUUUUUUUUAUGUGAUUGAGCUAAAAUAUAAUAAUGCAUUAAUAUUGUCUGAGAAUUGUUUUGUUGUGUACGCCUUCCUGUUUGAAGCUACCACAUGGUUUAAUUUGGAGAGCAUCACUUUAAAUUAGGUUGCAUAAAAUGAACUAGAAUAUGAAAUAUAUAUAUACACACAUAUAUUAUAUACAACCAAUUCACUCAAAACAGUGACUCAUUCAAAAACAAAACAGCCCUACUGAUUCGGAUUGAUUGUGCUUUGACAUCGAUGGCCUGGUAACUAUAAAAUGUAAGUUUUCAUUGAAAAUUAAGGUAAGUUUUCCAAACACUGCUUCAAGAAGCUUCAAAACAUUUGCUAAUCUUGAGUUUCGAAUCAGUGGUUUGUAUCAAAGUUAUGUGAAUAGGGGUUAUCAGAGAUGGUGUUAGAUGCCCAAUAAUAAUUACCUUCAUAUUUAAUGGCAUGUCAUUACUCGUAGAUUGCAUUUAAUAGACUGCACUUUCAUGAAAACAU